AUGCAGAAAUCCGCCUGUUAAACGAGGAAAACUGGCUGAGAACAGUUUCUAUUAUAAAUGUGAUAAGUAAAUUUAAUUUUGUCUUAACUGGCUAAACCCACAGAGACGUCAGUCGUGGGUUAUGGUCAGGGUCAACAUCAAGUUAUCGCAGCAGCUGGUAGUCCAAUCAACUGGUCGGUUUGAGAGCCAGUCUGUUGGAAGUCGGCAGAUGUCACUACAGUUCUCUGCAUGCUGGGGAAACCAAUGUUCGCCAAGUAAAUAACGCAAGGACAGUGUUACGAAGCUAUAAUCGGUCUUUUACCCGGCAUGAUAAUUGACAAAGUCAAUGAUACUUACAGUUUUGAUCCCUUUGAGUGACGUUUGUGACAUCUAAAAUCUGUGUAAAUUGGCUGCUGUGUUAGUUAUGACACGAGGAAACGUAUGUGCUAUUAUUUCCUUGAUUGUGUGUCUUUCAUCAAGAACCCUAAGUGUUCAAGGCGAUUCAAACGGUCGUCCUCCUCAGUCUGAGAAUGAAAGAUUUGUCGUUCAUGUUCGGAAAACUGUCAGGCAGGUACAAGGAGGCUGGUGUACGAUCCCUGACCAGUUACAGAACGGACGUUACUCGCCCAGCAGUAAGAGAUGCC